AUGUUGUCAGUGAACUGACACCCGGACGAGGGGCACCGUACCCGGCCAGCGACAAGACGGCGCCGA
rnacentral:ncRNA from 1 species